rnacentral:rRNA from 1 species
UACGUAGGGUGCGAGCGUUGUCCGGAAUUACUGGGCGUAAAGCGCACGUAGGCGGCUCUUUAAGUCGGGGGUGAAAUCCUGGAGCUCAACUCCAGAACUGCCUUCGAUACUGAAGAGCUUGAGUCCGGGAGAGGUGAGUGGAACUGCGAGUGUAGAGGUGAAAUUCGUAGAUAUUCGCAAGAACACCAGUGGCGAAGGCGGCUCACUGGCCCGGUACUGACGCUGAGGUGCGAAAGCGUGGGGAGCAAACAGG